ACUUCAAACCAUUUUUCCUUGUCCAGCAACCAUCAACCCCUGUAAAGAGUUGACUCCCUCCCUGUUUGUAGUCUCCCUUUAAGUAUGGGAAGGCUGCAAUGAGGUCACCCCGCAGCCUUCCCUUCUCCAGGCUGAACAAGCCCAGCUCCCUCAGCCAGUCCUCAUACGGGAGGUGCUGCAGCCCUCCAAUCAUCUUUGUGGCCCUCCUCUGGACCCUCUCCAACAGCUCCCUGUCUUUCAUGUAUUGGGGUCCCAGACCCGGACACAGUUCUGCAGAUGGGGCUCCACGAGGGCAGAGUAGAGAGAGACAAUC
ensembl:lncRNA